UUUAUGCAUUUGCACCUUACAGUUAUGUUCUGGGGCUUUGCUGCUCUUACUAUUGAAAAAAUCAAUGUGCUCUAUGAGAAAGCACAAGAAUUAAAGAAAGUAGACAUGGCUCGGUUUUGUAAUAAGUUAAUGAAAUGCAAGAAUAGCAAAGAUUUAAAUGUAACUUAAUUGGUCUUAGUCAUAGUAAGUAACAGUAGCUGUAGUAACAAAACCCUGAACAUUCUGGUGGCAUAACACAGGAAAGGUUUACUGCUCUCUCUCAGCACCGUGCAGUGUUCAGUGUAGACGCCUCAAGAGGCAGGGGGAGAGCUCUGCACCGUGCAUUCCUUCAGGGAUCCAGGUAGAAGGCUGCUCAGUCGCCUUCUAGUGCAUGGUUUUCUCUACUGCUGAGCGUCUUAUCAGCAGGUAACUCAGGAGAAGGAGAAUGGAUAAAUCACACUCAACUGCUUCAGACUAGAGGUGACACAUCCACCGGUGAAUAGCAGUCCCAGAGACCUUUCCCAAGAGGAAGAGCACCUGCUGUUGGUGUAAAAUAUUCUGGUAUCUGCCACACGCACACAGCCAGUCACAGAAUAUCUGAAAGACACUGAGCUGUUUCAGGGUAAGACAUGCCCUGUCCCACUCCUUGAUCUCCUCCUCCAAGAGAACCCGCCCACUCAUGUUGUACUCAGGACUCAGCAAAAUCUGACCUUGGGAGAGAGCAUCUGUCUAGGCUAAGGAAUCUUGGUGAAGUUUGAUAAGGGAGUCUUGCAGUAAAACAGCAAGCUAUUAUCAAAGUUGACUUCAUCUAGGCGUUCAGAAAAUGGGCUUUAAGGCUUUGGUCAAUGGGAUGACCAGCCUACAAGCUGGGCUUCAAUGAUUCUUGCCUCUUUUUUAAAAAAAAAUAAUUUAUUUGAAAAGCAGUUACAGGGUGAGGGUUAGGAGUAGAUCGAUCUCCCAUCCACCAGUUCAGCCCCCACAUGGCUGUAACAGCUGGGACUCAGCCAAGCCAGGAGCCAGGAGCCAGGAACUUCAUCUAGAUCCCCCAUGCGGGUGACAGAGGCCCAAGCACUUGCUCCAUCUUCCACUGCGUUCCCAGGUGCAUUAGCGGGGAGUUGCAUAGGAAGCAGAGCAGCUGGGACUCUGAAGUGGGAUGCAGGCCAACACUGCAGGGGGUAGCUUAAUCCACCACGGCACAACGCCGGCCCGUGAUUCUUGCCUCUUGAUAGGCACACUCUGCAGUCUCCACACAGAUGCGACAGGGCUGCCUGUGUAACUGAUGGGAUAUUGUGAGAACAGUGGCACCAGACUUCAGAGUCUGGGUCGCAAAAGUCACGGCAGUGUCCCGUGUGCUCCCUCAGAUGACUUGCUCCUGGGGCGAGCCAGUUGCCAGGCUGUAGGGCUCCUCCUGAGGUUCCCAUGCUGGUGAAAUGAAGCCUCUUUCCAGUGCCAGUCAUGCGGGCGCGCCAUCUUGGAAUCAAAGCCUCCAGAGCCAUCAGGCCCGCAGGUACUGCAGCUCCCGAGGAUCUCUGGAUCAUAACUCCUGAGAGACUGCGAGUCAAACCACUCAGUGAGGCUGCUUCCAAUUCCUGAUCAGAAAUGACAGAAGAUGGGAGUUACUGGUAAGUACAGGAGUAAUUUAUUCUACAGGAACAGCUAACUCAUACAGCCAAUCUACAUAAUCAGGAUGUGCAGUGUGGAGUGGACAGCGGCAGAAGAGGGGACCCCUUGAUCCUAUCCCAGCAGUUAGAAAUGCAUCUGAUUCACAGUGAUUCACUUUCCACUUUUUUACUGUUCAUAAAGACUCCCGCUCUGACCAGGUGCAGUUGAUUGGUGUUUAAAUAACCUUAGCAAGACUGCUUUGCCUUUUGAGAAAGCCGUUCAUUGAAAUCCUCACAGGAACCUCGUGCUGGAGGUUGUGGCCAUGUUCACACCAGGAAGCUGAAACACCUUGACCCACAUUUAAAUCAGCGGAGCCGGUAUUUGAAGCCAGGGUGGUGCAAUUCUGGAAGCCAAAUGUGUUUCAUCCCUGAGGGCUCUUAAGCCCACCUGGAGCCAGCUGUGUUCUUUACGGGGAGGUGAGAACCCAGGAGAAGGGCGGAGUCCAUUUUGGAGCAUGGAACGUUCUGGACAUGAGGGACUCAGGGGGCAGCAUGUAGUUAGUUCAGUGCCAAGCACCAAAAAUGUCCCCUUAGGUCCUACUGGCUAUGGAUCCUUGAUGGUCAUCAUAAUGAUGACGAUGACAUCAUGGUGUUAGCCAGAUGUCAGACACUGCUCUGAUUCAUUCGCUUGUAUUAGCUCAUUACUCCCUUACAGCAUUCUCACAGCAGGAACUGUCAAUGUCACUAUGUUAUAGAUGAGGCACUGAGACAGACAGAGAUGAAGCCAUCUACCCAAGGUCGACCAGAUAGUAAAGGGUGGAGCUGGGGCUUGACCCAGAUGGGCUGGCUGCAGACUCUGUGCAUCUGACCUGUGCUAUGCAUCUUUCCAGGCUUCUGAACCUGUAGGCGGGGCUUGUCCUAUACCUGCUGUUCUAGGGAGCCCCUCCCCAUGCCUCACCCUCUGGGGUCUUGCUCCUGCUGCAGCCACUGCACACUGUGGCUCACUCACCUGUGCGGAUACACUAUGGUCCGCCAUGCUGCAGGUGCCCACCUGCUGGUGUGUGCCUGUGACCUCUGGGACCCUUGUGGCAUCCUCAUCUUCUUCCAGAGACAUACGGGUGCUUGACAGCUGUUUCCCCCAACCUCCCCAACAUUGACGCAGUCCACAUCAGUCUUCAAGACCACCAGUGGUCUAUAUUCAAGUGUGGCUGGUGGUUCUCAUGCUCCAACAUGUAGAACAACAACCUGUGAGGCUUAUAAGGAGCAGAAAUGCAUUUCUCACAGUCUGGAAGCUGGCGAGUGCAAGAUCAAGGUGCCGGCAGAUUCCAUGUCUGGGGCGGGCCAGCUUCCUGGUUCACAGGUGGUAUCUUACAGUAUCCUUGCGGGGUACAAAGGCCAAGGGAGCUCUCUGGGGCUCCUUUUAUUGGGGCAAUACUCUGAUUCAUGAGGAUGCCAUUGCAUAAUUCCUAAGUUUCACUUUAUGAGUUUUGGGAGGAUGCACACAUUCAGGCUCUAGCACGCUCCUUCCGCACUUACUGCUUUCUCUUCUCCAAAUGGAGUUAUGGAGUCUGGCCCAAAGUGUGGUCCACAUGCUUCUUUCUCACUUAUGAGGAUCUAUUGCCCUGCAGGGCCCCAGGCCAAUCAGGGGAGGUGGCUCAGACACCAUCCUGGAAAGUCCAACUCCAUGCAUCAGCCGCUCAAAGCCUCUGUUGUCACCUAUCAGGAAGCCACAGGCUAGAGCCAGGAGCAUGAGAGGAGGGAGGCACCAUCUCUGCCCCCCUGAUAGGCAGUCAGACACAUAGGCAGUGGCUUCAAUGUCAUUUGGAAAGGGCUGACAGAGAAAUAUGAACGGGGUUCCCUGACAGCACAGCUCAACGUGGCCAACAUACGGGAAGGGUUCCUAAGAAAGCUACAUGAGGCAUGGGUGGAAGGGACUAGCGAUGGCCCAGCUGGGCUGGUGAGCUCCAGCCAUGGACCUAAUCCAGCCCACUACCUGUUUUAUGGGGCACACCGACCAAGGAUAGGCUUUCCAUUUGCAAGUGAAAAUCAAUCAAAACCAGAAUACCAGCUCAUGAUACGUGGCCAUGACAUGAAACUUCAACUUCAGUUUCUGUGAAUUGAGUUUGACUGGAAAUUCUUGAUGUACUUCUUAGUACUUGGUGUAUUUCUUAGUAUGCUUGUGCAUCGUCUGUGUCUGCUCCUGCGAGUCGAGUUGUGGCAAAGCUUCAAGUUCAAGGGGACUUCCGAAAAGUGUGCGAAAAGACAGAAUUAACAGAAAAAACUAAGGGUUAAUGCCUGGGGAGCCUGGGUUAAAUGGAAGUGGUGUGUUUAACUUUUCAAGAAAUUGCUGAAGUGUUUUCCAAAGUGGCCGUGCCAUCUUGCUCCAGCAAGGUGCAUUAGCAGAGAACUGGAUCAGAAGUGGAGCAGCCGGUACUCAACCCAGCACUCAUGGGAUGCAGGUGGCGGCUUGACCCAAUGAGCCAGGAGGCCGGCCCAAGGAUCGUUUCAUAUAUUUAUUUGUCAUCGGUAUGUCUUCCUGGAUGAAGUGUCUACUCAACGUGCUGACUUUUACAUGGGAAUGUUUGCUUACCACUGAGCUCUGUGAGAUUGCCACAUAUUCAGGAUAGGAGCUCUCUCUGAGAUCUGUGGUUUUGCACGUGUUUUCACAAGCUGAGGCUUAUCUUUUCAUCAUCCAGACGCUGUCUGUUUAAUGAUCACAAUCUUUAAUGCAUCAGUGUAUGUGACAUGCUUUUUGUAUUAGCUGAGUCCCCCUUGCAUCUGCCUUGUGUUUCAUCCGUGGCCAGCUCCCAGACACAGUCAGCUGUGCCGAAUGCCGCUGAGAAGUCAGAAGCCUGAAGAAACGUGCCCUGGAUUUACCUACGUGGAAGCAGCCGGUCUUAAUGCAGAGACAUGAUGCAGGCUGUUGCCAGGUGGAGCAGGGUGGGCUGUGAACAGGGGGUGAGGAAAUGCAGCUAGCACCUAAAGACAGCUCUGGAGAAGUUUGGCUCUGAAUGACAGAAGAGAGAUGGAGUUGGCUGAAGGGCUCCAUGUGAUCCAGGUCAAAAUACUCAAUCAAUCACAUAAACGAUGAUAGGAGAAGACACUGAAAAACUAUGGCAUGCAACACAAAAAACCUGAAAUAUGUUAUAUAAAAUUGUUCAAGUACAAGCAUUAAAAUGCAUCCACCUGCAUGUGUAUUGUUGAGGAUUUUCAAAAAAAAAAAAAAACCGAAUCCUUUUAUUAAAAGGAAGUUCUGUGUAUAACCUCUGGUUAAAAAAAUCUCCCAGCUGAAGUGGGGAACGCCCUGGCAGCCCCUGUGUGAGGAGCAGCAAAGGUGGGGAGAGGUGGCACACGUGUCAUUAAAUGGGUACUCAGUAGUGACUUCCUCUGGAAAUGCAUGUAAGCCACUUGUGCAGGUGCAUCAUGUACAAAAGAAUAAAAGAUGGGGAGGAAUCCGAGCCAGAAGUUAGCUGUCAGAAGAGCCCAGCCCAAUCUACACAUGCUGGUUCUGCACCAGCCAGUGCUGCUGGAGAGCUGAGCGUUUUGCCCCUAAGCAUCCCAGUCGCAGAUGCAAACAGAUACGCAAGAUGACACCCAAGAAUCAGAGCGUCUUGAGGGAGGGGCGCCCAGGUGUUCAGGAAAGCAACUUCUCAUGGUAAUGAGGCCUGAGAGAGACGUCUCCUGAGAAUUCUCACACUGGGGAACCAGGGUGUCACGAGCAGCGUUCUCAACAAUCUCCUCUCUAGCAGAUGUGGUGGUAAAUUUUGUGCACCUGUUUCUUAUUUUUCUCAAGCAGCUAAUGGGAUAACAUCAAAGUGCAGUCUAAUGAAAGCCAGGCUUGUGAGAUCAAGGAAGUGUGCAGGGGGGUGGAGCACUUUCUAAUACCCAAUCACAGUCCCCUGGUGACAUGGCAAACUCCCCUCCACUCCACAUAACACAUGUGCUUACCUGCUCUGGAAAAACCAUCAUCCAUCGCUUUACCGAUUUUCAUGUAUGAGAAAGGAAUGUGCAGUCAUUGCAAGCAUACAAAUGGUGGUGAAAUUUGUAAGCAUGAGAAGUGUAAUUCCCAGUGACCCCAUCCUUCACAGGUAACUGUGGAUUUCAGUUCCAGUCAGUUCCAGUCUGUUCUGAGACGACUGGACACACGUGUAGCACUUGUGGCCGCUGGCCCCGCUGGCCGUGGAGGUCACUAACAUACUUGGAUGUUACUAACCUACUUCUGUCACAGAAGUGUCCUCCAAGGUACAAGGCUUCACCCACGCACAUGAACCUUCUGAGAGUGACAGUUGGGUAGGCAGGUGAGAUGUCUUAAGCCAGAC